ensembl:lincRNA Gm44707 predicted gene 44707
UGUGCAGCAAACACCUUAUCUGUGGAGCCAUCUCUCCAGCUCUGGGUUUGGUUUCCGGUUUGGAGGGAACUGGUUCUCCCAACACCUUUUAUUAAGCAUUCCGUGUUCUCCUGUCCAUCCGGGCUGCUGUUGUAACUCAUGUUAACUCCUAGACUUACACAUCCACCUGUCUGAGUCUCCUCUCCCAUGUUGCUCUUGGGCCCACUUGGUGAUAAGCUCUCCCUUGCUGUGAACAUCCCUCCUGUUUGUCACAAUGCCGUGAUGUGUCCUAGGUAAGAAGCUUGCUAUUGCGCCACCACAGCCCUAUGCUCCUCCAUCUUACAACACCGUGCAGGAAGGUGAGAGUCUCCACCCUUGAUAUUAAGGGACUGCUCACAGACGCCUGCCUCCUCCCAGCUCUGGAACCAGCGUCUGCAUGGAAAAAGACACAACCUCGUAUGAGAAAAGAAAGUUUGAGCUGCCAAGAAAAUGAGUGUUAGCUCAGCUUCCUCCUUCUGGAAGCCUCUUUUCCCACACCCAACCCUCUGGAUCAGCUCAAACAACCAAAGACAGUAUCUUGACUCUUGCCUUUUAUUUUCCCUGCUCCAAGUUGAGCAGGGCAUGCAAGGCAGGAGCAGGAAGGAAAUUCCUGAGAGGGUGGGCUACAACCGGCUUGCUAUCCGGUCACCGUUUGUUCCUGUGAUUUAAGCGACGAGGCCUCAUGUAUCCCAAGCCUUGCUUUCAACUCUGUGCAGCCAACAAUGACCUUGAAAUCCAGAGCCUCCCACUCCUGGCUCCAAAUGCCUGGAUUACAGCAUCAUUCGCUGCCACACCCUGUUUACAUCUCGUGAGUGCUGAGUACACCAACCCAGCUACACCCACAGUGGUUUUGUGUUUGUUACUGAGAUAGUUCUCGCUAAGUAGCCCAGGCUGGCCUUAGUCUCCAGAUUCUCCCUACCUCAGCCUCCCUAGUAUGGGAAUUACAAGUGUCAACCACUACUCUCAGCUUCCUUUUCCUUCAUUUUGCUUAAAAAACAAACAAAACAAAACAACAAAAAAACCAGUGCUGAUGGUGGGAGAAGGGCUGGCAAGAUGGCUCAGUCAGUAAAGGUGACUGCCCCCAAGCCUGACAGCCUAAGUUCAGUCUUCAGGACCCACAGGGUAGACGUAGAAAGAUAAAUAAAUCCUGCAAAUCGUUCUCAGAACAGGCCAUGGCGUGCACUUGCCUCUUCAUGCC